CUUUUGCUUUUCUUUAUAUACCCAGCACUUAGCACAGUGUCAGACACUUUAGGUGCUUAAUAAAUGCAUAUUGAUUUAUCUGAAAAUUACUGUAGCAUUUCCUCUUGUGUUUUCACAAGAAAAAGAACCAUCAUUAUGGCAACAGGUCACAGUGAUAUAGUGUUUAUCAUAUGCCAGGAACUGUGCUAAGUACAUUCUAAUUUAUAUCUCACUUGAUUCAACCAUGCUAGGAUGUAGGUGGCAUUGUCAUCCCCACUUUACAGCUGAGGAAACUGAGACAAACAAAGGUGGAGUGACUUGAUCAUGAUCACAAAACUAGUUAGUGUCUAAGACUAGAACUCAGGUCUUCUUGAUUCCAGGCCAGGUGCUCUAUAAAUUAUAUCAACUAACUGCCAUGCUAGUUAAACAUGGAAAUUUUUGGACAAAAAUAUAUUGAUUUUCUUUAAGAUCACAAUUAAUUGACAUGCUCUGAUAGAAAGUAUUAGUAGACAUGUAGAAACAUUUUUUAGCUUUCAUGUAUAUCAAGUCAGUAAUAAAGGACACCCAGCUUGAAAACAAAAGUGGCCAACAAGACACCUAAAGUCAUUGUGAGAGCAGCUAACAAAUAAAGGAGGCCACCACUAGGAUGGAACAGCUCUGGUUUUAUCCCAUGAUUGGUUCUCUAUUCAUCAGACUCAAAGUGGUUAAGGAAAUUGAUAAAUAUGGAUAUUAAAGUGAACAUUAUUCUCUGAAACUUAUGUAGUUACUCAUAUUUAUCUUCAUAAGCUUUAGAUCUAAAUAAUGAUAAUUAUUGACUUCUGGAACCCCAUGCCCAAGAAGAGAAAAUAAUGGAAUUGAACUUGGGGAACAAUGCUACUAAUGGAGCAAAAAUUGGCAGAUGAUUCAGCUGAGAAUGUUUCAGGGUGGAGAGGAGUGCUGCUGGUUGGCUACAAGAAAGCAGGGACCCUGAUCACCAUUCCAAGACAGACAGGGACAUUAGUGCUAAUGAGUAUAAAAGAACAAGGGCCUUCCCAUGAUAAGGAGCAAAAUACAGACCAGGAGGGCAGGGAUCACACUUCUCUCCAGAUCACAUAACCCUGGAACCACCCAAAACUGGCAGACUUGCAGAACUAACUGAAACCAGCAACUUGAAAAACUUUUAAACUUGAGAUGAUGCUUCCCCACCCCAGGUGAGCAUAGCCAAAAUUUGACAUAAAGUUUGAAAUCAAGAAAUUGCCUCUAUUACAAGGGAAUCACUUUAAAAGACUGAUAUAUAUUAAUUUAAGGUUGCCAAGGAAUUCAGCUAUGUAAUUCCUAAAUGAAAACUCAAGUUUGCAGUCAAUCUUUUAUGGAGUUUAAUUACAAUAGGAGGAAGAAAGGAAUUAGAGAUAGAGAGAGAGAAAAGGGGAGAGAAAGGAAUAGGGCUUAAAUACCCCUUCUGUUUAGGCUGGGCCAAAAGGCCCAAGCCCUUAGAUAGCUGGGGCAAAGAAAGGAGAUCAGUCC
rnacentral:lncRNA from 1 species